GACGUAGGGCGCGAGCGUUGUCCGGAUUUAUUGGGCGUAAAGGGCUCGUAGGCGGCCAACUAAGUCACACGUGAAAUCCCCAGGCUUAACCUGGGAACUGCGUGUGAUACUGGAUGGCUUGAAUCCGGGAGAGGGAUGCAGAAUUCCAGGUGUAGCGGUGAAAUGCGUAGAUAUCUGGAGGAAUACCGGUGGCGAAGGCGGCAUCCUGGACCGGCAUUGACGCUGAUGAGCGAAAGCUAGGGGAGCAAACGGG
rnacentral:rRNA from 1 species